CCUACGGGUGGCUGCAGUGAGGAAUAUUGGUCAAUGGGCGCGAGCCUGAACCAGCCAAGUAGCGUGAAGGAUGACUGCCCUACGGGUUGUAAACUUCUUUUAUAAAGGAAUAAAGUGAGGCACGUUUGCCUUUUUGUAUGUACUUUAUGAUUAAGGAUCGGCUAACUCCGUGCCAGCAGCCGCGGUAAUACGGAGGAUCCGAGCGUUAUCCGGAUUUAGUGGGUUUAAGGGGAGCGUAGAUGGGUUGUAAAGUCAGUUUUGAAAGUUUGCGGCUCAACCGUAAAAUUGCAAUUGAUACUGGCAGUCUUGAGUACAGUUGAGGUAGGAGGAAUUCGUGGUGGAGCGGUGAAAUGCUUAGAUAUCACGAAGAACUCCGAUUGCGAAGGCAGCUUACUAAACUGCCACUGACAUUGAUGCUCGAAAGUGUGGGUAUCAAACAGGAUUAGAUACCCUGGUAGUC
rnacentral:rRNA from 1 species